UAAAUCCACUGUGUAAAGUGUGCAAAUAUGGUGUGUGAUGGAUUUGAAGCUGUAAGCAUGCCAAGCUUGGAGUCUAUAGGUAUUCACGUAAAAACGAAUUCCUAGCAUCGAGUCCCACCCUUCUUCUUAGAAGCCUGUUUACAACAUUUGGAAUAGAGCAGUACAGUUGGGAUGACUAUGACCCUGACACAAGCCUGGAGUAUAAUGAAGAGGAAACCUACCAGCAGUUCCUGGACUUCUAUGAUGAUGUGCUCCUCGAGUUCAAAAACUUGGGGAAAGUGAUCCAAUUCAAGAUUUAUUUGAAAUACAACAAUGUCCAAGAGGAAACCAGUGCAACUUUCUCCUUGUGUUCAGAAAUCCCAACGAGUUUCGCGAAGCCAACAGAGACAUCUACCUAUCUCCAGAUGGGACUGGCUCCUCCUUUGGUAAGAAGUUGGAGAUGAGAGAGAGGAAGGGCCACCAUGACAAAUUCUAUGGCAGUCCAAGGAGAAGUCCUAGACCAACCCAUUCCUACAAAAGAAAUGAGGAAGCUGAGAGCAAAACGAGUAGUCAAACGGGAAAGAAAUCUCACAAAAACCUAUCAGAGUCAUGAAAAGCACAGUUCACAAAGUCAAGGAAGAAAAAGGGACCACAGCCUGGGGCAGGGAAGCUAGAGCCACUCCAGGAGCCAGAGCCAGAGUUCCUCUAAGUCUAGGAGUUGUGGUGGGAGGAGGUCACCAGUAUUAGUGUUGAGAGUCACAAAUCCAAAUAAUCCUAUUUUUGUCUUAAAUGAAUGUGUACCUUAUUUAUUAUGGAUGCUAUAUUAUUUACAUAGAAGGCCUUUAACUCACACGGGUUAGCAAGUUUCACAGAACCCUAUGUAGAUGAAUCUUAUUUUAAAAGACAUAAAAUAUAAAAACAACAUGAAAAAUUACUUGUAAUCCUCUUAGACAUUAUCAACAUUGGAGCAUUGCUGUAGUCUCUUUUUCUUCUUAUGGAUAUGUACACAUAAUGUAAAGAUUAUAUAUAAUUUUCUUUUUUCUUUUUUCACAUGGAACUUUGUCAUCUUUCAUUAGCCGCUAUUCUUAGGUAAUUUU